UGUUGUUACACCCACCAGGCAGAGGCCCCCUGCCGUCAGAGGGGAGCUGCAGGAGGUGCAGGAGCCUACCCUCCCUCCAUUGGUGAGCUCAUGAGACGACCCGGGAUGGAACCCGAGACCCUAGAGCUCAGCCUGUGCGCGGACCCGCGCCGUUCCAGUUUGAAGAAUGCAAAUGCAGCAGGGCCCAUCUGAGCCCAGUAGUACUCUGCAGGAGGACCGAUACCCGAACUCGGGGAGAAUGUUUGAUGCUGUAAGUGAAACUACAGGGAGAACUAAACCACUCGCCAGCGUGCGGAAUCGCCCCCUCUCCUCGUGCACCUACACAGGAAGAACAUUCAAGGGAUUGUCUCCGCAAAAAUGAGUGUCUGUCUGCCAGGGUGAAGCUGUUCUAAUGUGUAUGCUGUUCAAAACAUGUGCCUUUAUCAAAUGCUAGGCUAAUUAUUAGUUGCAUUACUCAGGAAGAUGAGAAUGAAAAACACAAGGCACUCUGGUUACUAAGGGGACCAAUUGGUUACAUCUGUUUAAAUCAGCAAAAUUAACCAAAAGACCUUUAAAAUAAGAGAGGCUACAUUUGUUAAAGAAGAUGCCUAUUAGAGCUCCCUAUAAGGUUCAUUAAAGACAGAAUUUUCCUAGUAAAAUUUAGCAUGACAAAGCAUGCAUCAUUAAAUAUGGAAAUCCUGAUUUUUAUUAGCAAUCUGCUAGAUCAGAGCUGACGCCAAUUAAAUAAAAGGAAGAUAUCAUUUAU
rnacentral:lncRNA from 1 species